rnacentral:rRNA from 1 species
AUACAGAGGGUGCGAGCGUUAAUCGGAAUUACUGGGCGUAAAGCGCGCGUAGGCGGCUUAUUAAGUCAGAUGUGAAAUCCCCGGGCUCAACCUGGGAACUGCAUCUGAUACUGGUAAGCUAGAGUUUUGGAGAGGGAAGUAGAAUUUCAGGUGUAGCGGUGAAAUGCAUAGAGAUCUGAAGGAAUACCAGUGGCGAAGGCGACUUCCUGGCCAAAAACUGACGCUGAGGUGCGAAAGCGUGGGUAGCAAACGGGAUUAGAAACCCCUGUAGUCC